AAAUUUUAGGGAGAUUUUGGAUUUCCAAAUCGACGUCAAUUCUUAAUUUCUUUUUGAGGUGUUCGUUAUCAUCUUCAAGAUUUUGCUGGUAAAGGUCGUGAUGUUGAAAAUACAAAAAAGUUGAUUAAUCUUCGUCAUGCAUUCUUGAGGAACCUAGUUGGGAAGAUAUUUAGUAUAUUUAAAUCUAGAUUCACAAUUUUCAAAAUAACUCCACCAUUUUCGUAUCGUACAUAAGUAGCGCUUGUAUUAGCUUAUAUACUAUUACACAACUUUCUUCAUAAAGGGUGUUGUUCCGACGAUUUUUCGAUUGAACUUGAUAAUGAGGAUUCUUCAUUUUCUUCAAUUAAUAAAGGGGAAGACUUUGGACCUUUGUUGAGAGUCAAGCACAAGGAGGGAGAAUGCCAAUGCCUGGAAGGCCACUUUAAUAGCUGAUAUGUGAAAUGAUGUUGGGAUUGUUUGAUAUAUAUAUAUAUUUUGGAAAGUGAAUUAGUGCUUCAGUUAGACAACAGCAACAAAGGCACGAGUGAAAACAGUUCGACGAUUGGUCUUUUCUUUUAGCGCUGCUUUCACAUGAUGCAAUAUCUAGGCUUCCUGGACUUGCUCUCUCGCCUUAUUAUUAUUAUUUUUUUGUGGAUCAUUGCUAAAAUACUAUUAAUGUUUUUGGUAUUUUGAUUAUUCGUCAAUCUAUUUGAUGUAACUUGAAUUUUUUUUUCUUUAAAGAAAAAAAUUUAUUGACAUGAAAAAUA
rnacentral:lncRNA from 1 species